ACACAUACACUCGCUCACUGACACACAUACACUCGCUCACUGACACACAUACAGUGAGCGAGUGUAUGUGUGUCAGUGAGUGAGUGUGUGU